CCCCUGUCAGGACUCGCACCGCUGACGAGUCCCAAACNACAGGACGAAACAGUGC
rnacentral:hammerhead_ribozyme from 13 species